rnacentral:lncRNA from 1 species
AUGUGUUACGCACAGAUUAAGAGGUUUAAUGAGUUACAGAGGGACAAUGCAUUAUCAGGAGAGGAGAGGCAAGGGGCAGGUCCAGCCAUUCACCCACAUGUUCCUUCGUGCUUUCUCUGCCCAGGGAAUUGUGUGGUUGUGGAGAAAUUGCUUUCAGGAGUUCAAUGUGUUCACUGGGCUGAAAAGAAUCACCCUCCUCACCACUUUCCUCAAAAGAGCAGGACAAGUGUUUUUUUCUCACGCUCAAUCUUGAUUGCCCACUAGCCCUCCUGAGAGACCUGAAGAGCUUCACUGCCUCCUUACAGCACACUCCCUGGUUUUUAUCUCUGUGCUCACUAUCAGUGAAAAAAGACAGGAGGUAAGCCCACAUGCUCAUUUAGAAACACUUGGGCAUUUGGUCUCCAAGAUAACACCAGACCUCAUUAAGCUCGCACUCAGAGCAAAUGUUUUCCUUCAGCCCACUUGUCAGUUUUAGGGUGAUGGAAGUGCAUCUUUCACGUUUCUGGGUAAUCCCAGGGAGAUAAUGUGCUGGAGCAGAGAUGGUAGGGGAUUUGCAACCGUACGCGACCAAGCUCACUGCUCUUUGAAGAGUGAGCUGGUUUGCUGCAGUGUUUAAAAACAAGGAACACAUCCCUGCAACCAGCAACAGCCUCUGACACUGUCAGAUUCCCAAGCCAGGUGGCUUUCACAUUUCCACAGCCACACAUUUGCAAACUCUGCGUUCCUAGCUGUCCUUAAUACGACUCCAGUGAAGCUGGAAAGUACAAUAUGCACUUGGUCCACCUGGCUAAGUAUUUAACAGACUUUCUCUUCAUGAUGGCUGCUCAGAUCCAGAUGACCUUUUUCAGGCAAUGUAUUCACAAAUUUCACUCAACACUAUCUGCUGUGUUGGAAAUACAGAUUUUGUCCCAUUAUUUAAAGGCAAGCUUCUAAGAGCCAAGUAACUUUAGACAAAUACGAACACCAUUUGGCCUUUACUGAUUCAUUGAUUUGAGUAAAAAGUAUCAUUCAAAAAAACAUGUGAGCUUUUUUCUCUUGGGAUUUUCCUUUUUUUUCUCCAAAAGUCUUUUUAAAGACCUUUGAAAUGAAAUGCAGAAUAAUGUCCUUGCAGAAGUCACCAUGGGGUUGAAAUGUUAUAAAGCAGCUUAUUCAGAAUGGUGUAAGCUGCCCAGAGCACACAUAUUUCAAAUAAAUUCUGACCUACAGAACUUCCCCCCA